rnacentral:rRNA from 1 species
UAUUGCACAAUGGGGGAAACCCUGAUGCAGCAACGCCGCGUGAGUGAAGAAGUAUUUCGGUAUGUAAAGCUCUAUCGGCAGGGAAGAAAAUGACGGUACCUGAGUAAGAAGCCCCGGCUAACUACGUGCCAGCAGCCGCGGUAAUACGUAGGGGGCAAGCGUUAUCAGGAUUUACUGGGUGUAAAGGGAGCGUAGACGGCAGCACAAGUCUGGAGUGAAAUGCCGGGGCUUAACCCCGGAACUGCUUUGGAGACUGUGCAGCUAGAGUGCAGGAGAGGUAAGUGGAAUUCCUAGUGCAGCGGUGAAAUGCGUAGAUAUUAGGAGGAACACCAGUGGCGAAGGCGGCUUACUGGACUGUAACUGACGUUGAGGCUCGAAAGCGUGGGGAGUAAACAGG